rnacentral:rRNA from 1 species
AUUGAACGCUGGCGGCAGGCCUAACACAUGCAAGUCGAACGAGUGGAGGACGGGUGAGUAAUGUCUGGGAAACUGCCUGAUGGAGGGGGAUAACUCCUGGAAACGGUAGCUAAUACCGCAUACCAUCAGUUGUGCCCAGAUGGGAUAAGCUAGUGGGGGGGGUAACGGCUCACCAGGGCGACGAGCCCUAGCUGGUCUGAGAGGAUGACCGGCCACACGGGAACUGAGAAACGGUCCAGACUCCUAAGGGAGGCAGCAGUGGUGAAUAUUGCACAAUGGGCGAAAGCCUGAGCGAGCCAUGCCGCGUGUAUGAAGAAGGCCUUCGGAUGGUAAAGUACUGUCAUGAGGGAGGCUUUACCCGCAGAAAAAGCACCGGCUAACUCCGUGCCAGCCGCCGCGGUAAUAC